GUUGGUGCAGGAUUAAACAUGGCGGAGCCCUACCAGAACGGGAAAGAGACGCUUGGCAACCUGCUUCCCCGGAGAGACGAUCUGCGGUUUGCAAAUCAAAAACAACUAAGCACCUCGUCUUUGUGAACUCCCUCAACAGCUGUUUCCCUGCCCCCGCCCCUCCUCUUCUUCUCGAGGAGGAAGAUGAUGCUGCUGAGCUGUCCGCACCUUCUGACUAACCAAUAACCGAAGCAGCCUCCGCGCUUUCCCCGCCUCCCGCUCUUCUCCUCCAAGCUCGGCGCGCAUCACCACCACCUAAAGUGACUCAUUGCCCCUCUCCCUCUCUCCUUCCCCGGAAUAGUUAAAGUUGCGCCGACUUGAUUAAAACGUUGUUUUUUU